CCUGAAGAAUGGCCACUCGUUGUACAUCUCCUUGAGCUUCUGGAAGUUCUUGAUGUCCUUGUCGAUGGCCCACUUGAAGGCGGCGCCGACUCCCAGCCACACGGGGAGGUGGAACCUCGUCUGUGUCCACGAGAAGAUCCAGGGGAUGGCACGCAGGGUGGUGAUGCCGCCGCCCGGCUUCCUCUUGGCUGGCCUGCUGCCGAUGUUCAUCUUCCCGUACUCAGUCUCAGGGGUAGCCUGACAGAGAAAGACAGACGAAUGAAUUAUAACGACGACAUGGAUGAAUGAAUUCGAUUAUUCGAUCGAUCUUCACCAAACAUCAAACAAAUAUAUGAUGGCAUACCGAUCUGAAGUACUCGACGAAUCGCGGCUCCUUGACGACGACGGAGCGGUACUCCUCCGUGGCGACGACGGCCAUCUCCUCCAUGAGCUUGCGCCACUCGGGCUUGGGAGACACCGGCGGGUGCAUGCCGUGCUCCAGCGUGGCGGCCGUGAACCGCUGCAGAGACUGGAAGCACAGGUUCUCCUCCCCGAACAUGAACUCGAUGACCUCGCCCUGCACCGUCACACGGAUGGACCCGUUGAUGGUGUCCGGCGGCUGGGACAGGAUGGCGAGGUGCGUCGGGCCACCGCCCCUGCCGACGGUGCCACCGCGGCCGUGGAACAAGGUCAGCUUCACGCCGUACUUCUUGGCCACCUUGGCCAUCUCCUCCUGCGCCACGUACAGCUGCCACGCCGCGGACAGGCGGCCGGCGUCCUUGCCGGAGUCGGAGUAGCCGACCAUCACCUGCUGCUUGCCGUUGAUGUGGUUGAUGUACCAGUCAGUGGAGAAGAGCUUCUCCACGGACGCCGGCGCCGCCUGCAGGUCGGCCAGCCUCUCGAACAGCGGCACCACGGGGAGCGUCUGGCGAAUGCCACACUCGCGCUGCAGGAGCUCGACGGCGAGCACGUCCGAGGGCGCCGUGCACAUGGAGAUGAUGUAGGGGCCGAAGCUGUCGAUCGGGAGCUCGGCCAGGACGCGCAUGGCGCCG
rnacentral:lncRNA from 1 species